rnacentral:rRNA from 1 species
GAUGAACGCUGGCGGCGUGCCUAAUACAUGCAAGUCGAGCGAACGGACGAUACGCUUGCUUCUUUGAUGUUAGCGGCGGACGGGUGAGUAACACGUGGAUACCCUACUUAUCUGACUGGGAUCACUUCGGGACACCGGAGCUAAUACCGUAUAAUCUCUUGAACCGCAUGGUUCAAUGGUAAAUGACGGUCUUGCGGUCUCGUAUCGCUGCAUCUGCGCUGCAUUAGCUAGUUGGUAAGGUAACGGCUUACCAAGGCAACUAUGCAUAGCCGACCUGGGAGGGUGAUCGGCCACACGGGAACUGGGACACGGUCCAGACUCCUACGGGAGGCAGCAGUAGGGAAUCUUCCGCAGUGGGCGAAAGCCUGACGGAGCACGCCCGCGUGGGGGAUGAAGGUCUUCGGAUCGUAAAACUCGGUUAUUGGGGAAGAACAGAUUUGUAAGUAACUGUGCACAUCUUGACGGUACCUAAUCAGAAAGCCACGGCUAACUACGUG